UCUACAAAAUUUAAAUUUCAAGUGGCAUAAUAAAUGUCAUUGCUCUGAAGUACAAUUCAGAAUUGCAAAUGUUCAUGGCAAAUGUAAAAAAUAAAUUCUGGGAUGUUGUUAGCAAAACCUCCUAUUGAUGAUACUUGGGGAGUGAGGGGGAACAUAUACACUGGAGAACCUCAGAGUCCAAAACCUCUGCAGAAACCCUGUCAUUACAAAUAUAUUUCAUGAAAGGAAUGAAUACUUGUUGGAUCACUGUUCACGAUACAGAUAAAGCAAAACAACAACAACAACAACAAAAGCAUCAAAAACUACCUUGCUCUACCAAACUGAAAAUCUCUUUCUUCAUAGGAAGUUAGCCAUUUUUUCAAAUAAGAUUCGAAAAGUUCCUACGUUAACAAAUGUUGAAAAGAUUACAUUCAUAGAAACUUAGGGAGCGAAUAUAUUAUUGACAUUGUGGUACCAGGAUAUUACAGGCUGAAGUGCUGGGUUCAAAUUAUGAUUCUACCAGUCAUUUGCUAUCUUUGUGACCCUAGGCAACUUCACAACCUAGUUAACCUUUUUGAGCUUUUUACAAAAUGUAAUAAUAAUUACACUUCACUGAAACGUUACUGAGUUCAAAUAGAAGGUGUCUGUGCAGCUUGCCAACAGCACUUAGAAAAUGGUGGGCAUCCCCUAGGUGUCGAUUAUUAUUUGUAUUUUAGCUUUCUUGCCCUCAAUUACAAUUCUUCUAAGGCAUCCUUCUUCCUCUGACCUGUCUUCCGCUGACAGUUCAAGGCAGGGACUGGAACAACAAGAGUUCCUCUGAUCUUCAGUUCUCUUUGGAGAGAAAAUAUUAAAAGCAAGACCCAGAGCCUUGGCCUGUGGGCCUGGCAAAUGCUUCAGUUUUCAACCAGAAACAGGAAGAAGCACUUUCAUCACCUGUCCAGUUCUCCAAAUGAAAAGAACCAAGUCCUGAGUCUCAGAUCCAUUUGGCUUUCCUCUUGUGUCAGUGACAUGGGGGAGAAGGGUUCGAAACUCAAGGUCGGGAUGCAUGCAUAGUCUUCUCCAACUUGGAGCUUUAGUUCCACUAAUUACUAGCACAGUUUCAAGCAUUAAGACACCUAUACUCUGGAAACUUUGGCUUACUACUCUUGCCUGUAUUUUUUUUUUUCAUUUUUUACACUCAAUAAGGGGACAAAAAUCAUCUGUCAACAGAACUACUCUGACAAUAGUGACUUUCUAAUUAAUCAGUCUUCAAAACAAGUUAUCCUCAGUCUCUUUAUAUUACAGGUAAGAAAACUGAGGUCCACGGAGGUAAGAUUGCUUGUUACAUGUCUGUAUCUUCCUUCUCUUGCUCUGGCACUAAAAUAAACGGCAGAGGUGAAAGUAGUAGUCUUUUCACUGGAACUGGAAGCUUUAAAGCUGAAUUCUUUCCUUAGUUAAUUUCUAUCUCUGGUCUUUUAAUCACUUUACUCAACCUCCUUGCAUCUUAUGGCUCUCUAUUAAAACCCUGUCUCUAUAUUAGGGCUUUUCUAAAAUCCUAAAUUUAGAAAUCUGGAGUAAUUAGAAAAUAAUUUGGGGGGCACCUGGGUGGCUCAGUCCAGCUUCAGUUCAGGUCAUUAUCUCGUGGUUCGUGGGUUCAUGCCCCACAUUAGGCUCGCUGCUGUCAGCACAGAGCCUUCUUCUGAUCCUCCUCUGUCCUCCUCUCUCUCUGCCCCUCCACCGCUCAUGUUCUCUUUCUCUCAAAAAUAAAUAAAAAAUGAUAAUUUUCAUAACUGCUUCACCUGUUGAACAGGGGAGCGGGUGUGGAGAGAGGAGAAGGGGCUAAUUACUGUGGUUAUUUUGUCUCUUCAAAAAAUUUUAAAAUAGAUCUGAGAAAAGUACAUUUUUCCAGAAGAAACAAACUUGGCAAGAAUGAUUUUAUGUGUAAAAAACUUACCAGUAUUUAAGGUAAUAUGAAUUUAUGACAAAAUAAGUUUGACACAGUCCAGUAUUCACUGGUUUUAGAUGGUCAGAAUGAGAGUCAGAGAUUGAUACAAGGACCAAACUCAUUCAUUUAAAAAUUUUUCUAAAGGAAAAUCCUUUAGAGAUGACUCCAUCUUUUUGAGCUAGUCAAGAUCUUAGGGGAAAAAAAAGUCUAGUCCUGUGCUGAAGAAACCAAAGCCCAUGUGUAUUAAGUGACUCACUCAAAGGCAGAGCCGUAAUUCUUAUCCAAGUUUCCUGGUUCCUAAUUUACUCUCUCCAUUUAACCACCAGUGACACUACAUAAGCAAAAUAAAGCAUAACUCCUCUCACAUUUACUACAACUGUCAGCCAAAGCACUAAAGAGAUAUCCUAAUACCUUUAACCCAACUUCAUCUUAAAAACACACAAAUGUUGGAAAUGUAAGCAUGCCUUUGAUUUUCUACAUGAAAAAAAUCAUUAGCACACUGAUCUAAUUUUAUUUUAAAUUCCUGAAGGUUCCCAGGUCACUCAGCAUUUUCACCAAUGCAUCCAAUACAUUCUUUGACACAUAACCAUACGUAUAGGAUCUAGUUAAUGACUGAAAACUUAGCACCAAUUUUACAGACCUACCUGAAAAAUAACCAGUUUUAUAUAUGGCUUAGGGUAGUGACAGCCUGUGUAGGGGAUCAGUGAAAUUAGGAGUCCUAAUUAACCUCAGCAGACCCUAACAUCUGUGCUUGAUGUAGUUGAGAUUAUACUUGUCACAUAAGACAUGUUCUAUAACCAGGACUCAUUCCAAGCCCAUGAGCAGACCUCAGGAUCACUGUAUUAUCUGUGAGCUAGGCAAUUAUUGACGCUGAUCCAGAAUUACAGUUAAACAGGUUUGCCUUUCAGGAAUGAAAUUGACACACUGUUAACGCUGGAGUAUUGGGAGCUAAGCUGAAACUAUGAAGGCUCUCUGAUGAGAUCAACAGAUUGCUUUUAUGACCUGUAUCUUAGUUUAUGGUUUUACAGCAGCAAAUAUAGAGUGCUGUAAUUCCUGUACGCAGAAUAAAGUCUGCUUACUAUCCCUUAAAAGCAUUUUAUCACUUGAGGAGUGGGUAUUUUGAAAAUUUUUAUUCUAAUUUUGUGCUUCCGUAUGUAAACACUGGAGCACAAACCUGACUUGAAAUCCUCUAACUUGAUAUGCUUGGAAGAGACUAUAGAGAACUUGUUUAAGACUCCUAUUCAACAAAUGGGGAAAAGGUAAAGUCCAAUAUAGUUGUAGGGGUACAUACUAAAGAACAUGGCUUAAAGUUUAAUACAAUAUUGCAACAAAAAAUAAACCCCACUGAGUAAAUUGUUAUAAUUCAUCCCAAUUAGCAAUAACUGGUACUUUUUAACUGAGUGAAAAUAAGCUGAUGAACUGUGCCCCACACUAGCUUUAAAGGGAAGUGUGCUUAGUAGUAGAGUUAAAGAAUUAAGAAGGAAACAAAAUGAAGACAUCUAGAGACUCAAAUGUUUCUUUUUUUCCCUUGCUAACAGAUAAGAAGUGGUUCUUCUUAAAAAACUUGCCUUUUAAAGGAAAGGGAACCAGGAGGGCCAGUCUGCUAAAUUACCCCACCCAUAGCCUUGAAACAGAAAGUAAAAGGGAUUCCUUACUCAAAUGACUUUGCUUAUCCUCUCGAACAAGAGUUAGAGAUUAAUUUAUUAAUCUUUUAAAAAAUGGUUAAGAUUAUUGAUUACCAAUAAAAUAAUUGCAAAUAGUCAGUAUGGCUUGUGGAGUAUCCCCAUUUCUUCUCUACCACACAAUGAUUCAGUUUCUCUGCACAGUACUGUUUCCUCUUUGAUAUUUGUUUCUUAUUCUAUGCACCUGUGUUCCAUGAAAGCUUCUCCAGAACCUUGCCUUCUUUUUCACCCAGUACUUUCAAUGGUGCUCAGUGUAUAGCAAACACUCAUUUUUGUUAAAUGAAUAAGAACUGUAUAUACAUUAUAUAAAGCAUAUGUCACUGUUCUAUGAAAGCAUGAGUGAAGUAUUUAAAUGAGAUUUGGGCAAUCUUGAAUUUAUUACAAAGCAGCUAAAGCUGAAUAUCCUCAUUUUGUUUGAAUAGAACCCCAAUAAAAAUAAAUGGGUUCCCAUUUGCUGCUCAAUACCAUAAUGUCAUUAAUUACUCGUCUUUAGAAACACAAUUCCUAAACUCUGUGAUGAGAACAUGGGACCUAAGAAAAUCAGAAUUGGUAACCGACAUCAACUUAAUCAUGUUAUAAGGAGAGAAAAGUGAGAUGGGGGAUAUAUUUCACAUGUCAUCAGAUGGCUUUCCUGGCAAGGCAUUUAUCCUGAUAUCUUACUAUUAAAAUUUCCUUGCCAUUUUCUAAAGCUAUCUUCUAAGUCAAGUUACUUCCUAGAGGAAUUAACAGUAGUGUUUUCCCACAGGAUGCUAGUUCCAUCAGAUAAAAAAGCUGUGGGAUGUCAAAGGUAUCACCACAAACAAGUUGAAAGGGUGUCAAAGUUUACAAAAUGCCUUCAUAAACAGAAUUUUUCAAAUUUUUAAACACACCACCACGUAUAUACUGAAGAACUCAAAGUUGGGGAUCUAAAGCACUGUUUACUAAACUCACCUGGCCCCAGAGCUUCCCCCACCCCCUACCCAACAAAACAUAUUAGUGUUCUGUGGAAUAAUUUCUGAUGUGAAGGAUGAGGGAUAAGAAAAUUAUGGCGAAUUCUGCAUCCUGGCAAGGCCUCCAGGGCACUACCUGGGCUAUAAGGAAGCUUCACUUAAUUCACAUUCAUGGGCCUACCUAUAUCUCUACUUAAAUGGCUGCCACAAAUAUUUAGUAGGCUCAUUUAUGUACUUUAUAAACACCUGGAAUUUUUUUCCACAGGAACUGGGGCUGUAACAAUUUAUAAAAUUAUAAAUUCUCACCCUUAUGUAGUUUAUAUUCUAGUGAUCUUCAAUUCUUAGUAUCAGCAGAUACUUCAGGAGGGUCUUUUCAUGUCAUUAUACACUGGGUGGGGCAAGCCUGAUUUUUAUUUAAAAUUUUCAAAAGCUUUAUAUUUUAAGUGAUCACAUGUUAGUUCAACAAAAUACGAUGAGCUUCCCAAAAUCUAACCCCUUUCUGCAUACUUUCUUUACCUCUGACAAGGUUAUAUGGCCACCUCACCUCCCCUCACUUCACCUCCCGUGCAUCUGGGGGAAUCCACUCAGUAGUGCCCUGGUUUUGGAAUCAGGUGAGUAUAAACAGCCUACUUGCAUUUCAACUGCCAUAGCUUAAUGGGGUUGAUUUUAAGAUUCUCCAAAGUCAGUUCCAACCACCGCCAAAGAGGUAUCUCUUACUAGCUAAAAGGAAACCAUCUAUUUAUUCAGUUCUAUACCAUUUAGACACAGGUGUGCUUUCGUAAGUAGGUAACAACUUUCUAAGGGGGAAAAAUAAUAGAGGGAAAAAGAAAUUUUUUAAUAAAAGAAUAGCUUUCUAUCUGGCCACAUAGUAAUUUGAAUAAACAUUCUUCCAUGAAAUCUUUAUCAUUCAACACUUCAUGUGAUCUGCUAUCAACCAACCUUAUCUCCCUGUUCCCCCACCCCAAAAAACCACCUAUAUAAUCCCAGCCAAAUAUGAUUUAUCACUUUUAUAAUUACCUCCAGGCUCUUUCCCCUGGAGGGCUAUUUCUGUACUCCAUGUAACUCCAUACAUUGUACUCCAUACAAUUUAGUUACAAGGUAAUCUGUACUUGUUUAAACCCCACCCCUAAGGUCCAUCCUAAAUAGUACCUACUUCAUGAAAUGGUCUUUGACCCUACCUCCAACCACAGCUGUAAGUUACCUACCAUAUUUAUAGCUCCUUUACCACAUUUCUUGCUUCACCACAAUAGUUUCUAUAAAUGCCCUGAAAGGCAGAGACAUUGGUCUUCCAUUCUUACCAAAAAAAAAAAAAGACAAGCAACCAAAAUACAUACUUCCACCAGUGCAAUUUUUGGAGACUGAGCAAAAUGCUAAUAUUAGGUCAUGUAUGAAACUUCCAUUUGUGUAGGUAAACACUGUCAAAUCAAUUUCAUAUGGCUCAAGCUAUACUACAAAAGGAUAGGCUAAAGUAUAUUUGAAUUUGGACAUUACAUGGUAUUUAUCUGGGAGGAGAGUAGGACUAACUCCUUUUGUAUCCCAAUCUUGUAAAUCUACAAGAGAACUAGUACCCAAUAAUGAUUUAAAGUCUUUCCUCUCACAGGAGGAAAUUUCAGUCAGUUUCUCAGGAGCUGACCUUAAUGUUUCUAACUACUACUGUUAACCUACCCAAUACAAAAGGCAGACACUAAAGGCUGAUUAAUAUUUAAACUUUUCAAAGUCAAAUAUUUUGGUCCUCAAAAAUACCAGUAUGUGGCAAUGGGUGGGGAGAGACCAUGCCAACUGGCUUAAGAAUCCCAACAGUGCUUUUACAUUCUGCUUAUGUGACCAUACCCAAAAAUUCUGUAAUUAAAAUAUCAAAGCAAAUGUACCAAUUAGAAAUAACACUGCAAUGAUUUUGAGGGUCAAGGACCCAAAGAUUUUUAAAUAUUUAUUUCAUAUCCCUUCAAAAUACCAAAUUCUAAACACUAAUACUUUGCAAGUUUUCCACAUUUUAUUUGUAUGAAAAAUACCCAGCUGCACAGCAGCUACCUUAGAGGCAGAUAUUAAAAUGAAUAUGCUAAAAUGGAUAUAAAAUUUAAAGCAUUUGCCUAUAUUAAUAUAGCAUACUAACAGGUAAAAUCCUGACCAAAAAUGGAUUCCCAAGUAAGCCUUUUUGUUUGUCCAAAGUUCAAUCAGCAAAAGGGUGUUUCUAUUUUCUGGGAUCUGAAAAUGAGGAUGUUCUAAAGUUCAUGGAUUUUCUCAGCAUUAAUAGAUAAAUUUUAAAAGUAGCCCCACAGUCAUAAAAACUUUUAAACAAAAUGCAACCUGAGUAAAAUUAUUUUAAGGGCAUAUAACCUGUUUUUUAAAAAUUUCAUGAUUUUUCAAAGUGAUUGUUGUAGCCCUUAACUAAUGAAAGAGGUUCCUCCUUAUCAUACACAUGCAUCAUCCAAAACCAGUGAUACUCCAAAUUGGUUUUGCAGAUUAGUGCAAAUAUGCUGCUGUGGCAACUGUGGAAUGAACAGGCCAAUACUGAAAAUCUCCUCAAGAAAGGGCCACAGGUGAUUUGGGGAACCUGGAAACUCUGCCUGUGCUUGUUAACAACAAAUACCGCCUUCUGAGGGAUAUAAGGCUUCUAAAUCAGGAGACUCUCACACCAUCCAAGGUGGACCUCAACUCUUUGUACAUGACCACCACCUAAGAAGCCAAAGAAAAUAACUCCUGGAUGGCUGACUGUACUCCUUCCUAUAUGGUCUCAGACACGAACACAUGAUGCUAACUUUAUGAUAAAGUGUGGCUCCUGUCCUGUAUACCAUGAGACUAGUGUCAAGUAUGGCCUGUGACAGUCUUGUGAGUCUGUAUGUUUAGCUGAAUCUAACAUGACCUCCUUGUAGAAGCUGCAGAAGUUCAAAGUACAAGUCUCCAGAUUUAAGGGGAUUCAAGAGAAAAACGUAUCUACUUGAGUAACAGGGAGGAUAAGGAAUAACAUCAUGAGGUUUCACUAAAGGUGAGACUACUUCUGAAAGAUAUAGAGGACUUUGAACAUUUGAAGAAAUGUUGAAGAAAUGAAGAAAUACCAAGUAUUUCUUCUAUUGAAAAAAAUACAUAUUUUUUAAAAGCAAUAAUGGGGGCACCUGGCUGGCUCAGUUGGUAGGGCAUAUGAUUCUUAUCUUGGAGUCAUGAGUUCAAGCCCCAUGCUGGUGUAGAGAUUAAAAAUAAAAUCUUUUAAAAAAUAAUAAAAAGCAGUAAUGGUAGAGAAAGACAAUAUCCCAUGCAUACGCAAAAAGAGGAAAAAAAUGGCACGGGGAGUCUUCAAGGAGUACAGAGAGGUCAGUUAGACUUCAGAAUAUUGUUUGUUUAGUUAGCUGUUUGUCAAAAUUACGUAACACACAAAACCCUGCAAUGGAGGGGCAUUUUUCUUUGUAAGAUUUAGAUUUAGAGAAACACUACAUUAAACUAGGUCUUUAGGUCAUCUGUGUACCAACGGCAUCAACACAAACACUUGCACUGAAAUCUCAUGGUAGUAUUCAGUAUAAAGUGGUGGUCAUCCAGGAUCACUCUAAACAUAAAUUCUCUACCUAGCUCGAAAUUAAAAUAACAAAAAAUUAAAGCUUCAUAAGGCUAAUUGAGCACCAUGGGGAUUACAUCCAUAGAUCUCAAUAUAACUAACACAGAUUAAACAUUGAGGGCCUCGUGUUUGCCGGGGACUAUGAAAGACAAAAUGACAAGACACUGUCCCUAUCUUCAAGGAACUUAGAAUAAUAUAGUUUUAGUCAUUCAAUAAACAUUUUGGUACACAUUAAGUAGAAGACACUGAGAUGCUGGAAAUUAAAAAAUAAAGAAGGAAAAGUGGUCCUUCUCAAGAAAGUGAUGUAUGGGGAAGACAAGUAUAUCAGUGAUUACAGUAGUGUCAUCAGAGGUCUAUGCAUAGGGGUUCUUCGUAAUAGUAAUCACAUUCACCAAAUUUUAAAGAAUGAAAAGUUAACAAGCCUGAGAACUAAGAGAGGUGGAAGAAAUGGAGAGGGUAUUCCAGACAGAAAGUACACAUGCAGUCAGAGGUACAAACAUCAAGAUAUGUUUAAGCAUGUUUCUCUACACAAGACUGACAGAACACCAGCAUCACAAUCACCUGUAAUGCAUGUUAUAAUUGUUUUACACUCUCCUUAACCAAAUGAAUAAAACAUUUUAAAGAUCAGGCUCAGAAAUCUGCAUUUUAAUAAGCACUUUCAACCUUAUGUUCACUGGAGUUUAGGAAGCACAGAUUAAGAAUUGGUUAUGUACCUCAACACCACAAAAUUCCAAAUAAUCCAGUUUAAAAAUGGGCAGAGGACCUGAAUAGACAUUUUUCCAAAGAAGAUACAGAUGGCCAACAGACACACGGAAAGAUGUUCACCAUCACUAAUCAUGAAGGAAAUGCAAAUAAAAACCACAAUGAGGGUAUCACCUUACACCUGUCAGAAUGGCCAGAAUCAAAAAGACAACAAAUAAGUAUUGGUAUGGAUGUGGAGAAAAAGGAAUGCUCAUGCACUGUUGGUGGGAAUGUAAACUGGGGCAGGCACUCUGGAAAAUAGUAUGGCGGAUCCUCAAAAAAUUAAAAAUAGAAUUACCAUAUGAUCCAGUAAUUCUACUACUAGAUGCCCAAAGAAAAUGAAAAUACUGAUUUGAAAAGAUAUAUGCAUGCCUAUGUUUACUGCAGCAUUAUUUACAAUAGCCAAGUUAUGGAACCAACCCAGGUGUCCAUCAGCAAAUGAAUGGAUGAAGACGUGGUAUGUGUGUACAUAUACAUACACAUAUGUACACACACACACACACACACACACACACACACAGGAAUAUUACUUAGCCAUAAAAAUGAAUGAGAUCUUGCUAUUUGUAACAACAUGAAUGGACACAGAAGGUAUAAUGCUAAGUAAGAGAAAAAUACAAAAACAAUUUCACUCGUGGAAUUUAAGAAACAAAACAAAUGAACAAAGAAAAAGAAGAGACAAAAAUAAACUCUUACAUACAGAGAACUGGUGAUUGCCAGACAGGAGGGAUGGGUGAAAUAGAUAAAAGAGAUUAAGUGUACACUUAUCAUGAUGAGCACUGAGCAAUGUAUAAAACUGCUGAAUCACUAUACUGUACACCUGAAAUUAAUAGAACACUGUAUGUUAAUUAUACUUCAAUAAAAAGAGAGAGAGAAAAGAAUUUGUAAAAUUCAGAGCAGACAGAGUUAAAGGUAUGGAGAAGGGGCCAGAGAUGAAGGCAGGUAAGUCAGCCAAGGACCAGUUCAAAAAGUACCCUAGGUAUCUAGCUAAGCCACUAAUAGCUGUUUCUCCACCAAGCAAGGUUACAAUGUGAUCACAGAAGCAGCAUUUCAAGAUAAAGCUGAGGGCUUCAAAUGUGAGGUGAGGUUGAAUAAUCUGUAUAUACUUCUUCCAGAUUCAGUAGGUUCAGGAAAAGAUCUGAGCCUGAUCAGAGGAUGUAAAGAGUGCUUCCUCUCCAAGACUCCUUCCCCAUCCCUACUUACAAAUAAGUUACCUUUACUCAGUUUUCUUCACUGAAAAAUACUUAGUACUCUGUCUAGUUUCAAAGUAAUUCACAUGAGCAAAUGGUACCCAGGGUCCAAUUUAGUAACUUUUUUAUUUAAGAAAGAGAUAUUAAAAUGUGCAACUUGCUAUUUCAACUAAUAAUUUCUGCAAUUGAGUUCCUUCAAUUCUCAAGUACGGGACCAACUCACCAUGGUGAUUUACCCUACAUUAAUUUUUUUUUUUAAGUAGGCUUCAGGUCCAGCUCAGAGCCCAAUGUGGGGCUUGAACUCACAACCCUGAGAUCAAGACCUGAGGGGAGAUUAAGUCAGACAACCAAUUGAGCCACCCAGGUGCCCCUACAUUAAUUUUUAUUAUGUACAGAACACAGCACAUUAACCACUGUUAGAUUCAUGUGGUAUUUAGUUACUUUCAACAACAUGUUGAAUAAAACUUUCACAAAUAUUUCAUUACAUAAAGACGACUUAUCUCUUAGUAAUCUCUUAAUUUGUCAAUUACACUUCAAUUACACUAUCAACAAGAAGUUCCUAUUAAUUCUCUAGCAGCCUUCCUUACUUCUGAAAUCUUACCAAAGUUGGCACUCAUUUGCCAAAUACGUUUUAGAAUCUCUUUUCAUCCACUUAAUUUCUUUGCUUUUUAAACGUUUAUUUAUUUAUUUUGAGAGAGAGAACACAAGCAGGGAAGGGGCAAAACAGAGACAGAGAAAAUCCCAAACAGGCUCCACGCUGCCACCACACAGAGUGACAUGGGGGUCGAACCCAUGAACCAUGAGAUCAUGACCUGAGCCAAAACCAAGAGUUGGAUGCUUAACCGACUGAGCCACCCAGGUGCCCCUCAUUCACUUAACUUCUAAUUAUUACAUGACAUGCCAAACUUCUUUUCGUCUUCCCUUCCCUUUAACAGAUUGUUCUGAAUUCUGAAAGAAGCGUUUUGUUUGUUUGUUUUAUUUACAAAAGCAUCUUUUGUUUGGCUAAUUAGCCACACAAAGCUUAAAUCAGAUUCAAGUGCCCAUCUUUGAUGUACAGCAUAUUACUACCAAGCUUCCAAAAAGGGAUCUUUACACAGACUCUAGAGUUAGGAAAAUGAAAUUAUAUAUAUAUUUUAAUGUUUAUUUAUUUUUGAGAGAGAGAGUGCAAGCAGGGAAGGGGCAGAGAAAGAGGGGGACAGGGGAUCCAAAGCGGCUCUGCACUGACAGCAGUGAGCCUGAUGCAGGGUUCGAACUCAGGAACCCAUAAGAUCAUGACCUGGGUAGAAGUCUAACGCUCAACCAAUAGAGCCACCCAGGUACCACAAAAUUAUAUUUUAAACUCCUACUUUUAACUUCACACUCUGGGAAAUUUCAUCAUUUAAUCUGUCAUCAGUUAAAGAAAAUGUGACUUAAAAUUUCCCAGUCAAAAUACUAUCACUUAAAUCCCAUCACUUGUUAAAAUUCUAAUACUGGAGAAUUUUAUAUCCCUCCUGCUUCUACAUUCUGUCCUAACAUACUCUAUUACAGUCAUAUACAGUCACUUGGGUGAUAUACAUAGUAUAUCAUAGUUGUUGUUUUAUUUCUGCUAGCUUCCUAAUGCCUUUAUUUCCCAGCUUCCUGAAAUAGGUACUAUCCAGAACAGCUACUUUAAAGAACUACAGCAUUCACCUCACUGAAAGCACACCAAUUGCAUAAGAUUUUUUUUACAUACAAGAGACACUUUGUUCAAUUCUAUAACCCCUUACAUCUUUCUACAAAGGAGAGGCUAUAAAAUAUUUCCAGCUUUAGUUCGGUCUCUCCUAAACAACUGAAAUAAAAUCGGCUAAGAUAUGCAUAUUCAACAAUCAUUUCUACGUAAUAAGCUUCAGGGUUAACCAAGAGACCUACCUUCAAACAACAGCAUUCAUGACCCAAUCCUUAUAUGCCAGGCCCUGUGGGAGGUGCUGCACAUCGAGUGAUGUAUAAUAAAGCAGAUGUUUGUAACUCAUGAAGCUUGUAUUUCAGUAAAAAGGACAAAAUAAUGAAAGAAAACAAGACUGUUUCAGAGGGAUUCUCAGAUACUAUUUUAGACAGUGUGCAGAGGAAAGGCCUCACUGAAAAGUUAUAUUUGAGCUCAGCUAAGACUAUGCUAAGAGCAAAAAAAGAACGCUGCAGGUAGUUGGAACAAGUACAAAGGCCCUGGGACAGUAACAAGUUUAGACUGUUUAAAAUAACAAGGAAAAUAAUAUCCAUAUGGGAACAACAGUAGGCUAAGGAGAGAAUAUUGAGUAGAGACUAAUAAAGUGGGGUCUAUGGUGCCAAAAGAAGUUAGGAUUUUAAGCAAAUCAAAACAAAACAAAAGAAUCACUGGAAGGUUUUCAAGUGGGAGAGAUUUAAGAUUUGGUUUAUGCUUCAGAAGAAUCAUAUUACGUUCAAGAGAAUGAAUUGUAGACAGCAAAAGACAAAUACGGAGAUUACUGUAGUAUCCAGGUGCAAGAUGAACAGGGCUUAGACUAGGACAACGUAGAAAUGGAGAGAAGUGUACUGAUUCUCAAUGUAUUUUGGAGGGAGACAAAGGAUUAACCAAUGAAUCAGAUGUGGUGGGUGACCAAGAAUGACACCUUCGGGCAUUGGCUUAAGCAAGUGGAUAGAGAUGGAGUUAUUUGAAGAAAAAGAUGAGACUGGAACAGAGGGAAACAGAUUUGGAGGAAGAAAAUCAAGCAAAAAAUGAAAAAGAGUAGCCAGUUAAGUGUGGUAACCACGAAGCCAACAGAGUUAAAUCUUUCUAGUAGGAGGAAAUGGUUAUUUAUAUCAAAUGUUGAUAAAUCUAUAUAAAUUAUAGGAAACUACUAAUUAGUUUGACAAUAUAGAUAUUUAUAGUGGUGUUGUGUGGCUUAACGCUGAGUGCAAACCCUCCCAAGGAGUUUGCUAUAAAGAGGAACAGAAAAAUGGAUUAAGAAAUAAAAAGGGGCAGCAGUUUUAAGAUAUUUGUCUGAGAUGGGAAUGAUCUAAUUAGAAAGAAAUUUGAAGAUGCAGGAAAUAUAGGAUACCUGGCAGGUGAGAGUAAAAUGUAAAGAUCCUGAAAGAUGAGGGGGGAUGAGAUCCAGAGAGCAAGUGAAAGAACAAUGCUCUAUUAAAAGUGACAUUUUUCCAUUUUAUAAGAAGAAAAACAAAAUUUGAAUGUAAGAUUUUAGAUGUGGAGCUGUGUUCCCAGCAUCUAAAACAGUGGAUGGCAGAAUAUAAGCCCUUAAAUAAAUAUAUAUUAAUAAGAAAUUCCUAUCAAGUUGUUUUUACAUUUUAAAAUAAAGUCAUACCACUGGACAGUGCUUGCUUAAGCCAAAGAAAUCAGAGAAGAAUGGAACUCUUUACCUGAAAGAUUCACUUUCUGUAAACAAGAAGUCAGCAAACUAUGAUCCCUGAACCAAAGCCAGCACAAUGCCUGAUUUUGGAAAUAAAGUUUUAUUAGAACUCAGUCAUGCCCAUUCAUUAAUAUAUACUAUCUGGCUUUCCAGCUAUAACAGAGCUGAGUAGUUUCAACAGAAACCAUAUUGUUCUAAAUCUUAAAUAUUUACUCUUUGGCCCUUUCGAGAAAAAGUCUGUUGACUACAGCUCUAAAUUUAAUUUAAUUUUAAAUUCCAAAAUAAUCUGUAAAGUGAAGAAGGAUUCUCUACAACACACAUUGUAGAGACACACAUCUCUAUUUUACAGUCACGAAAUACCUAAGAGGUCUAGUAAUGCAGGGGUAGUCCCAUAUAGUUAUGGGUAGAGCUCAUGAGAUAGAAUUAGGUUGAGCAAGAUUUGGAAGUCAUGAGCAUGCAGGAAAUGGUGAAAAGCUAUAGAAGUGGGUAAAACCUCCAGGACACUUUACUAGAAAGCAUAAAUACUUAACACUUAGGAGAAGAAACAUUAAAAAAAAAAAAAAAGAUUAAGGUAUAAAAAGAAAACCAGAUGGAGAAUAGUUUGGUGGUUUCUUAUAAUGUUAAACAUAGAAUUAACUUAAGACCUAGUAAUUCCACUCCUAAGUAUAUAUCCCCCCAAAAAACUGAAAUCAAAGACUCAAA